UGGGGAGUAUUGGACAAUGGGCGAAAGCCUGAUCCAGCCAUGCCGCAUGAGUGAAGAAGGCCUUUGGGUUGUAAAGCUCUUUUAGUGAGGAAGAUAAUGACGGUACUCACAG
rnacentral:rRNA from 1 species